rnacentral:rRNA from 1 species
UACGGAGGGAGCUAGCGUUGUUCGGAAUUACUGGGCGUAAAGCGCACGUAGGCGGACUUUUAAGUCAGGUGUGAAAUCCCAAGGCUCAACCUUGGAACUGCAUUUGAAACUGGGAGUCUUGAGACCAGGAGAGGUUAGCGGAAUACCGAGUGUAGAGGUGAAAUUCGUAGAUAUUCGGUGGAACACCAGUGGCGAAGGCGGCUAACUGGACUGGUACUAACGCUGAGGUGCGAAAGUGUGGGGAGCAAACAGG